rnacentral:rRNA from 1 species
GAACUUUCCAGAGAUGGAUUGGUGCCUUCGGGAACUGUGAGACAGGUGCUGCAUGGCUGUCGUCAGCUCGUGUUGUGAAAUGUUGGGUUAAGUCCCGCAACGAGCGCAACCCUUAUCCUUUGUUGCCAGCGGUCCGGCCGGGAACUCAAAGGAGACUGCCAGUGAUAAACUGGAGGAAGGUGGGGAUGACGUCAAGUCAUCAUGGCCCUUACGACCAGGGCUACACACGUGCUACAAUGGCGCAUACAAAGAGAAGCGACCUCGCGAGAGCAAGCGGACCUCAUAAAGUGCGUCGUAGUCCGGAUUGGAGUCUGCAACUCGACUCCAUGAAGUCGGAAUCGCUAGUAAUCGUGGAUCAGAA